AUUGAACGCUGGCGGCAGGCCUAACACAUGCAAGUCGAGCGGAUGAAGGGAGCUUGCUCCUGGAUUCAGCGGCGGACGGGUGAGUAAUGCCUAGGAAUCUGCCUGGUAGUGGGGGAUAACGUCCGGAAACGGGCGCUAAUACCGCAUACGUCCUGAGGGAGAAAGUGGGGGAUCUUCGGACCCCACGCUAUCAGAUGAGCCUAGGUCGGAUUAGCUAGUUGGUGGGGUAAAGGCCUACCAAGGCGACGAUCCGUAACUGGUCUGAGAGGAUGAUCAGUCACACUGGAACUGAGACACGGUCCAGACUCCUAAGGGAGGCAGCAGUGGGGAAUAUUGGACAAUGGGCGAAAGCCUGGUCCAGCCAUGCCGCGUGUGUGAAGAAGGUCUUCGGAUUGUAAAGCACUUUAAGUUGGGAGGAAGGGCAGUAAGUUAAUACCUUGCUGUUUUGACGUUACCAACAGAAUAAGCACCGGCUAACUUCGUG
rnacentral:rRNA from 1 species